rnacentral:tRNA from 1 species
GCCGCGCUGAUCGGCCUUCUGGUCCGCGACCCUGCCAAGGUCGAAGGCGGCCCGCGGGGGUCCAUGCUCGAUGUGCUGCGCAUCCGCGCGGUC